rnacentral:rRNA from 1 species
AUGUUCUGGGCCGCACGCGCGCUACACUGAAGAGAUCAGCAGGUUUUCCUUGGCCGAAAGGUCCGGGUAAUCCGUUGAAGCCUCUGAAAAUGGAUGGCGCUGAAGCGUCGUGCCUAUACUCGGCCGCCAGGGCAUGAGGAGCGUUCAUUACAGUUCGUUUUGAAGCCCUGGUGAGUAGGAGGGUCGCGGUGGUGUGCGCAGAAGGGUUUGAACGUGAGCCUGCCUGGAGCCGCCAUCGGUGCAGAUCUUGGUGGUAGUAGCAAAUACUCCAGCGAGGCCCUGGAGGACUGACGUGGAGAAGGGUUUCGUGUGAACAGCCGUUGCACACGAGUCAGUCGAUCCUAAGCCCCAGGAGAAAUCCUAUGUUGAUGUUGGUGUAUUUUAUUUUGAAUAAAAUCUCACACCCAUCGGGCGAAAGGGAAUCCGGUUCCUAUUCCGGAACCCGGCAGCGGAACCGUUUACAAGUCGGGCCCUCGCAAGAGAGUUCGUCGGGGUAACCCAAAAUGACCUGGAGACGCCGUCGGGAGAUACGGGGAGAGUUUUCUUUUCUGUAUGAGCGUUCGAGUUCCCUGGAAUCCUCUAGCAGGGAGAUAGGGUUUGGAACGCGAAGAGCACCGCAGUUGCGGCGGUGUCCGUAUCUUCCCCUCGGACCUUGAAAAUCCAGGAGAGGGCCACGGUAGGUGUCGCGCCGGUUCGUACCCAUAUCCGCAGCAGGUCUCCAAGGUGAAGAGCCUCUAGUCGAUAGAUUAAUGUAGGUAAGGGAAGUCGGCAAAUUGGAUCCGUAACUUCGGGAUAAGGAUUGGCUCUGAGGAUCGGGGCGUGCCGGGCUUGGUUGGGAAGCGGGCGUAGGCCGAUGUGCCGGGCCUGGGCAAGGUGAAAUUGUCCUUGUGACUUAGAUCCGAGCUCGGUUCCGUGUCUAGGCCCCCCGCGGAUCUUUCUUGCUGCGAGGUUUCUGUUCCGGCUUCGGUCGGUCAGUCGUACUCUUCGGCCGCCAUUCAACGGUCAGCUCAGAACUGGCACGGACUAGGGGAAUCCGACUGUCUAAUUAAAACAAAGCAUUGCGAUGGCCCUAGCGGGUGUUGACGCAAUGUGAUUUCUGCCCAGUGCUCUGAAUGUCAACGUGAAGAAAUUCAAGCAAGCGCGGGUAAACGGCGGGAGUAACUAUGACUCUCUUUCACCAGGGGAAGAAAACAAGACAGGUUUUGUCGGGCGGGCUGCAAUGCUCCCGAAACCCUUGACCAUAUUUUACAGACAUGCCACAGGAGCCAUCGACAGCGAAUUGAGAGACACAACGCCGUGUGUCAGUAUGUUAAAAAGAGCCCUAGAGAAAACGUACUCGCACGUCGACCUAGAACCAAACUUCAAGACGGCGGAAGGCACCAGAAAACCAGAUUUAAUUGCGGCGCAAAGUGGAAGAGCCAUUGUUCUGGAUGCCCAAAUUGUUGGAGGAUCCAUGGACAUGGCUAGAGCCCACAAACGCAAGUUAGAAUAUUAUAAAAAUCUGGAAAACAAGGUGAAAGAGAAGUACAAUGUGUCAACAGUGUCAUACAAUUCCAUCACACUAAAUAUCAGAGGUGUAUGGCAUGAGGAAUCUGCGAAAUAUCUAGUGUC